ensembl:miRNA
UGAGGCAGGAGAAUUGCUUGAACCUGGGAGGUGGAGGUUGCAGUGAGCCAAGAUUGCACCAUUGCACUCCAGCCUGGGCGACAGAGCAAGACUCUGUCUUG